rnacentral:lncRNA from 1 species
CGAAAAGAAAGAAACCAGAUUAAAGCUCAUUCUGAUUUAUUUUUUACUCGUGAAAGCGGAGAUAAUCGCUCUGUAGACCGACCAGAGUGCAGGUUUAAACGGAAAAUUUUCUUUUUAUGCGUGAAAAAUAAAUGAGACACAGGCCGUAGGGGUGGGCAACUGACGCACCGAGCAGACCACCGGGUCCCCUUAACGGAUUCCUCGAAUUUGUCGGACCGACCGGAUAGCGAGGCGCACCGGGACGCGAAAAAUUGUCCACCCCUAGUUUAGAGCAAUAAAAUUUGUCAUCUAACAGUGAAUGAACAACUAUUGGAACACCGUGGACCAAUCAUUUUCUCUGGAAUGUCUUUGCGUGUCGAAUUCAGCGCUGAAAUGUAAUGGCAUGUAUUGAAAAUGAUGUCAUAUGUCUGUGCCACAAAUCGUUUUGACCAACGUACUCACAG